rfam:Felis catus isolate Cinnamon breed Abyssinian chromosome C2, whole genome shotgun sequence.
GCCUGGCUGGCUUAGUCAGUAGAGCACAUGACUUUUAAUCUCAGAGUUGUGAGUUUGAGCCCCAUGUUGGGUG